GUGCAAGGCCAAAUAAUGUUGGGGUGCCAGAUCCCCUCUGAUCUUGGAUACUAAGCCGGAUCAGCCCUGGUUAGAACUUGGAUGGGAGACCACCAGCCAACAUGUGGUGCUGUAGGCU
rnacentral:rRNA from 11 species